rnacentral:rRNA from 1 species
ACUCUACGGGAGGGCAGCAGUGGGGAAUCUUGGACAAUGGGGGCAACCCUGAUCCAGCCAUGCCGCGUGAGUGAUGAAGGCCCUAGGGUCGUAAAGCUCUUUCGCCUUGUGAAGAUAAUGACUGUAGCAGGUAAAGAAACCCCGGCUAACUCCGUUGCCAGCAGCCGCGGUAAUACGGAGGGGUUAGCGUUGUUCGGAAUUACUGGGCGUAAAGCGCGCGUA